rnacentral:rRNA from 1 species
UACGUAGGGUGCAAGCGUUAAUCGGAAUUACUGGGCGUAAAGCGUGCGCAGGCGGUUUUGUAAGUCUGUCGUGAAAUCCCCGGGCUUAACCUGGGAAUGGCGAUGGAGACUGCAAGGCUAGAGUUUGGCAGAGGGGGGUAGAAUUCCACGUGUAGCAGUGAAAUGCGUAGAGAUGUGGAGGAACACCGAUGGCGAAGGCAGCCCCCUGGGUCAAAACUGACGCUGAGGAGCGAAAGCGUGGGUAGCAAACAGG